rnacentral:rRNA from 1 species
GACGAACGCUGGCGGCGUGCUUAACACAUGCAAGUCGAACGGAAAGGCCCUGCUUUUGUGGGGUGCUCGAGUGGCGAACGGGUGAGUAACACGUGAGUAACCUGCCCUUGACUUUGGGAUAACUUCAGGAAACUGGGGCUAAUACCAGAUAGGAGCUCCUGCUGCAUGGUGGGGGUUGGAAAGUUUCGGCGGUUGGGGAUGGACUCGCGGCUUAUCAGCUUGUUGGUGGGGUAGUGGCUUACCAAGGCUUUGACGGGUAGCUGGCCUGAGAGGGUGACCGGCCACAUUGGGACUGAGAUACGGCCCAGACUCCUACGGGAGGCAGCAGUGGGGAAUAUUGCACAAUGGGCGGAAGCCUGAUGCAGCAACGCCGCGUGCGGGAUGACGGCCUUCGGGUUGUAAACCGCUUUCGCCUGUGACGAAGCGUGAGUGACGGUAAUGGGUAAAGAAGCACCGGCUAACCACGUG